CCUACGGGAGGCAGCAGUAGGGAAUAUUGGGCAAUGGGCGAGAGCCUGACCCAGCCAUGCCGCGUGCAGGAUGAAGGCUUUCUGGUCGUAAACUGCUUUUGCCAGGGAAGCGGUACCUGGUGAAUAAGCACCGGCUAACUCCGUGCCAGCAGCCGCGGUAAUACGGAGGGUGCAAGCGUUGUCCGGAUUUAUUGGGUUUAAAGGGUGCGUAGGCGGUUCUUUAAGUCUGGGGUGAAAGCCCGUUGCUCAACAACGGAACUGCCCUGGAAACUGGAGGACUUGAGUACAGACGAGGCGGAAUGGAUGCUGUAGCGGUGAAAUGCAUAGAUAGCAUCCAGAACCCCGAUUGCGAAGGCAGCUGCCUACUGUAACUGACGCUGAGGCACGAAAGCGUGGGGAGCGAACAGGAUUAGAUACCCUUGUAGUC
rnacentral:rRNA from 1 species